rnacentral:lncRNA from 1 species
UCUAAAAAUAUGCAAACUUGACAACAGAGGAAGAUGGUUUGGCAGCAUCUUUUCCUCUUCCCAGCCACACACAGAAGAAGAAGAUAAAACAGGAACCUUCAGCACAUCCCUUCAUUGUUAUAUAUUUUUCCAAUUGCCUGGAAAUGAGGGAGAGAAAUGUGAAGAGAUAAAGCCAGCACUAUCCAGAAAUAAAAGGUUGUCAAAAACAACCUUAGCUGCUCAUAAUUUGCUUCACUCAUAGAGUGAAAAUGACAGUUUCCAACUUCUAACGGACUUAGAAAUAUUUCUAAUUUAUGCAUGGGUUUAUAAACUGUGAGGCAUGAAAGAGAGAGGAAAAGGAUGUAUAAGGGUUGGGAUGAUGACAAUCACUUCAGACACAAGUUCCAAAGUUUAGCCCAAACUAGUUGAAUACUGGCAAUGUCACUGCAUGAUUUAAGUAGUGCCUAUUAUGGCCUGGACAGAAUCCCCCUCUGCUGAACAGCUGCGUUUUAUAUUGUACAAAAAUGAUCUCAUUUGAUUGCCAAAAACUAUUAUAUAAUGUGAUUUUAUGUAAUUAUGAAAAGAAAUUCCACAUUAAAAUGACUGUUUUUGUUUUAAUCAUGCAGCUUUGACCUUAUGCUCACUGGAAGACAAAGGAAGAACUUUUUAAUCCUUUUGAGCAAACCUUUGCUGUCCUCCUGAGUUUAGACUAAAUGAUGACAUACUUCACUGCAUUUUCUUGUAAAAUUAAGGCUGAAGCUCAGGAAACUGAAAUCAAGAGGAUGUGAAGUUCACUCAUCACCUGGUGGCAUAAGGGAGGCCAUAAGGAGGCUGGGAGCAUUCAGAGCUCAGAACUGCUGCUCCUGUUUGCUCCAAAGAUGGAAGAUCCAAGAUGCUUCCUUGCACAGUAUCACUUUCCCAGUUCUGAAAAGAGUGGCCACUCUUUGACCUGGAGAGGCCACUCUGGAUGUCUAGACAGAACUGCUCAUUACAAUCAGCUGGUAAACAUUUCACAGCUUUCCUCCCUGAGAGCUCCAUUGCUCAAGCCAGCUCUUCAUCCUGAUACUGAAAACAUGGAAGAAGCCAGUAUGAGAAUCCACUCUUUCUUCUAAUUAGUGUUGAAACCAAGAGGGAAGAAAACAAGCUCUUCUACUACAAAAACAUCCAAGCUUCCCACCUGGAAAAGAGUAAUAGUUCUGUGAGUCUGGAUCAGAGCUCUCAUCUACUAUUCAAGAAGUAAAAACAUGCCUUUGCACAUUUUUUUGAAACCCUUAAUCAAGCUGACAGUCCUUCUACACUCAUUUGGAAACUGUUCAAACUUCAAGUUGAAGCUUCUUCUUACAUUACAUUUAUUAUUUUAUUAUUCCUAUUAAAAUAUGUGUUUACUUCAACCAAAAUGGAAAUAAAGUUAAUGAAUGUGGAUCUUGAACA